UGGUGUGGAGAAGAGGGCCCUGACUGGCAAUGUAGGAAUCCUUCUGCCGGUAGCCCUAUACAGGCCAAAUCAAUAGCAGGAGUGAGGAGGUUUAGUGGGGAAGGAGAAGGGUCCUAGUGAAGAAGAUAGGUCCUUAGGGAAGGAUGGGGGUGGCUUGGAAGCAAAUGUCUCUGAGGCAGAGCUCCCCUUUGGCCCAGGACCAAACUCUGACCAACUGGUCUCUGUCUUUGCUGUUACACUGGUGUGUACUCUUAGUCUCCUACCGCCUUCUGCUCCCUGGGGCCUGAAAGACCAGUUCACAGGAGGGGUUCCCCAUGCCAUUACGGGGUGGCUUACCCACAUCCUCAGUGCGGCCAUUGGAUAAGCGGAAAGAAUUGGAAUGGCUCCCAGCUUGCUUAUAUUUCUUAAAUCUAAUGAGGAAAGGUCAUAGUGAAAAAAUAAAAACAGAAGAGGUCAG